rnacentral:sRNA from 1 species
GCCAUAAGAAAACCAGGUAAAUGUGAAGAGUGUUUUGUGACAUUUUUGAAAUAAUAAAACCAUUUAAUUUUUUUAACCUUGAUAAUACUAAUAUACACAAAGUGGAAGUAAAAUAUUUGGUCUCCUUUAUUAUAAGGUAUCAGGAAAGGUUUUACUGAGUUUGAAAGAUACAUAGGAAAUUAAACACAGAAGCCACAAAUACAAGCUUAAAUGUGAUGAUGCUUUUUUCUUUUUGCGAGAUUGGAAGACAUUUGUGUCUGGGUUUUUGUUUUGUUUUGUUUUGUUUUUCCCUUAAGAAGAGCUAUUUGAACCAGGAGUGGUUUUCAACAUACCAAACAGAUAAUUGCAUGGGUUUUAACCUAUCAAAAUGGUCAUGCGUUCAGUCAUAACAAUCAUGAUACCCUUAUUAGUGUGUGUCAGUGGAGUAACAGUCUUCCUUGCAUGUAGCUCAACCUUAGCUUUUAUCACCUUCCUCCAUGGUGCAACUAUUUCAUUGUUGUCUAAAACAUCUAUUUUAAUAAAAUUAAUAAGCUGUCUGCAAAAUUAUGAUACAGCUAUAGAAGCACAAGUUCUACUUCUAGGCUGUCACAGUUUUUUGGUCGCAUUGAAGAAUGUUCAUGAAUGAUUGGUUUGAUUAAUGUUAACGAGUUGAAACAUUUUAUGAUGUUUUUGUGGCUAGUUACACAUAAAUUGCUUUAAAUAUAUGUGUUCAUUUUGUUACUUUUACCUACUUUUAUUAUUUAUUAUAUGCUCAGAAAUUUGGUAGAGGGAAAAGCUAGUUUAAAAUUUCAUUUUUUUAUGUUUAGGCCAAGAUUGAAAAAUGUGGAUCGGAGUAGUGCUCAGCAUUUGGAAGUUACCGUUGGAGAUCUGACAGUCAUUAUUACAGACUUUAAGGAGAAAACAAAGUCACCGCCUGCAUCUAGUGCUGCUUCUGCAGAUCCACACAGUCAAAGCGGCUCUAGCUCUGAUAACACAGAGAGAGGAAUGUCCAGGUCAUCUUCACCCAGAGGAGAAGCCUCAUCAUUGAAUGGAGAAUCUCAUUAAAGUUUAUUUUCUCCAAUUUCUUAGUCACUUCUGUCCUACCAUGCAAAUACACAGAUUAUGCCAAGAGGUACCACAUUUUCAUGACAAAUACAUUCAUGCACAAUCCAUAAUUUGAGUUUUACAUAAAAUAGAAAUUUGUUAGAAUUUGUUAGAUUUUAUUGCAACUAUGCCUACCAAACAUUUCCAGACUUAACAUUUUGGUCUCUGCAGUUAAGUGCCAUGAAAAUGUGGUUGAAUUAUUCAUUAUGCAGUGUUAUUGGUAAGUGUAUUUUCACUUUUAGUUUAGUGAAUUCUAACACAUAAUUCUUGAAUUCUCUACUAUUGGCAUGUAACGAAUUUAAAUUUUUUAUAACAUAGUGCAAGCUGCCUAAAUAUGUAUUAUUUGAGAAUUGUGAAACAGAUAGUUAUAUGUAUACAAGUCAAAGAACAACUUAACUAUUGCUGCAACAGGUUUUUCUUAAUGGUUAUCCUCUUAAAUACACCUGCUGGUACUUGGUGUGGUUAAAUAGGAAAAUUGUUAUUAAAUAAAGAAUUUGUAUGAACCUUU